rnacentral:rRNA from 1 species
AACAAACGCUGGCGGCGUGCCUAACACAUGCAAGUCGUACGAGAAAGGGUCCUUCGGGGCCUGAGUGAAGUGGCGCACGGGUGAGUAACGCGUGGAUGAUCUGCCCUUCAGUUGGGCAUAACUCAUCGAAAGGUAGGCUAGUACCGAAUAAUUCUGUGAGACCUCGGUUGAUCAGCCAAAGAGAGCCCCUGCUUGCAAGCCCUCGCCGAAGGACCAGCCCGCGUACCAUUAGCUAGUUGGUAGGGUAUGGCCUACCAAGGCGACGAUGGUUAGCUGGUCUGAGAGGAGGAUCAGCCACACUGGAACUGAGACACGGUCCAGACUCCUACGGGAGGCAGCAGUGAGGAAUCUUGCGCAAUGGGGGCAACCCUGACGCAGCAACGCCGCGUGAGUGAGGAAGGUCUUCGGAUCGUAAAGCUCUGUCGGAUGGAAAGAACCGCAUAGGGGUAAACAGCCCCUGUGUCUGACGGUACCAUCAAAGGAAGCACCGGCUAACUCCGUGCCAGCCGCCGCCGUAAAAC